rnacentral:rRNA from 1 species
CGAACGCUGGCGGCAUGCCUAACACAUGCAAGUCGAACGAGACCGCUGACUUCGGUUGGCGCGUCUAGUGGCGCACGGGUGCGUAACGCGUGGGAAUCUGCCCUUGGGUACGGAAUAACAGCGAGAAAUUGCUGCUAAUACCGUAUAAUGACUCCAGAAGGAAUUUUGGGGUCCAAAGAUUUAUCGCCCAGGGAUGAGCCCGCGUAGGAUUAGCUUGUUGGUGAGGUAAAAGCUCACCAAGGCAACGAUCCUUAGCUGGUCUGAGAGGAUGAUCAGCCACACGGGGACUGAGACACGGCCCAGACUCCUACGGGAGGCAGCGGUGGGGAAUAUUGGACAAUGGGCGAAAGCCUGAUCCAGCAAUGCCGCGUGAGUGAUGAAGGCCUUAGGGUUGUAAAGCACUGUCGGGAGGGACGAAUAAGGUUGCGGCUAACAUCCGCAGCCGAUGACGGUACCUCCAAAGGAAGCACCGGCUAACUCUGUGCCAGCAGCCGCGGUAAUACAGAGGGUGCAAGCGUUGUUCGGAAUUAUUGGGCGUAAAGCGCGUGUAGGCGGCUCUGCAAGUUGGGUGUGAAAGCCCUCGGCUCAACCGAGGAAGUGCGCCCAAAACUACAAGGCUUGAGUACCGGAGAGGGUGGCGGAAUUCCCGGUGUAGAGGUGAAAUUCGUAGAUAUCGGGAGGAACACCAGUGGCGAAGGCGGCCACCUGGACGGAUACUGACGCUGA